rnacentral:rRNA from 1 species
CCUACGGGAGGCAGCAGUAGGGAAUCUUCCGCAAUGGACGAAAGUCUGACGGAGCAACGCCGCGUGAACGAUGAAGGCCUUCGGGUCGUAAAGUUCUGUUGUUAGGGAAGAACAAGUGCUAGUUAAAUAAGCUGGCACCUUGACGGUACCUAACCAGAAAGCCACGGCUAACUACGUGCCAGCAGCCGCGGUAAUACGUAGGUGGCAAGCGUUGUCCGGAAUUAUUGGGCGUAAAGCGCGCGCAGGCGGUUUCUUAAGUCUGAUGUGAAAGCCCCCGGCUCAACCGGGGAGGGUCAUUGGAAACUGGGAAACUUGAGUGCAGAAGAGGAAAGUGGAAUUCCAAGUGUAGCGGUGAAAUGCGUAGAGAUUUGGAGGAACACCAGUGGCGAAGGCGACUUUCUGGUCUGUAACUGACGCUGAGGCGCGAAAGCGUGGGGAGCAAACAGGAUUAGAUACCCUGGUAGUCCACGCUGUAAACGAUGAGUGCUAAGUGUUAGAGGGUUUCCGCCCUUUAGUGCUGAAGUUAACGCAUUAAGCACUCCGCCUGGGGAUACGGUCGCAAGACUGAAACUCAAAAGNGAGUCGACGNGNGAGAGCGACGACGACGACGACGAGGAGAG